GUAGGUGGCAAGCGUUGUCCGGAAUUAUUGGGCGUAAAGCGCGCGCAGGCGGUUCUUUAAGUCUGAUGUGAAAGCCCACGGCUCAACCGUGGAGGGUCAUUGGAAACUGGAGAACUUGAGUACAGAAGAGGAAAGCGGAAUUCCACGUGUAGCGGUGAAAUGCGUAGAGAUGUGGAGGAACACCAGUGGCGAAGGCGGCUUUCUGGUCUGUAACUGACGCUGAGGCGCGAAAGCGUGGGGGAGCAAACAGGAUUAGAUACCCUGGUAGUCCACGCCGUAAACGAUGAGUGCUAAGUGUUAGGGGGUUUCCGCCCCUUAGUGCUGCAGCUAGCGCAUUAAGCACUCCGCCCCGGGAGUACGGCCGCAAGGCUG
rnacentral:rRNA from 1 species